GCCUUCAUAGUGUAGUGGUCAGCACGCUCGACGCCUAAUCGAGAGGUCCGUGGUUCGAUUCCCGGCGAGCGCA
rnacentral:tRNA from 1 species